AACGAACGCUGGCGGCAUGCCUAACACAUGCAAGUCGAACGAGACCUUCGGGUCUAGUGGCGCACGGGUGCGUAACGCGUGGGAACCUGCCCUUAGGUUCGGAAUAACUCCCCGAAAGGGGUGCUAAUACCGGAUAAUGUCUUCGGACCAAUGAUUUAUCGCCUUUGGAUGGGCCCGCGUUGGAUUAGCUAGUUGUUAGGGUAAAAGCAUACCAAGGCGACGAUCCAUAGCUGGUCUGAGAGGAUGAUCAGCCACACUGGGACUGAGACACGGCCCAGACUCCUACGGGAGGCAGCAGUGGGGAAUAUUGGACAAUGGGCGAAAGGCUGAUCCAGCAAUGCCGCGUGAGUGAUGAAGGCCUUAGGGUUGUAAAGCUCUUUUAACCAGGAUGAUAAUGACAGUACCGGGAGAAUAAGCUCCGGCUAACUCCGUG
rnacentral:rRNA from 1 species